rnacentral:lncRNA from 1 species
AAAUAUGCAUGGCUUGCAUUGCAUUCAUUCACAUUUCAUUGCAUCUGCAUCUCACCAUAACGCAUGUCAUUUUCCAGACAAAAAAAAAACUCAUCCAUCCUUUGUCCGUGAUCAGCAAAGUGAUUCUCAACACGCAUUUAGAACAAAGAACCAUGUCUCAGGAGAUGAUGGACGAGCUAAGAAAUAGCCAAGAAGCACUGAAGGGGGAACUUAAUCUUUUGAAGAGCCAAAUGAGAUGGGUCUUGGAAACCCUGCAAGUCUUGUUGGGAAAAGAGGGUCACCCAAUAUACACCGCUGCAACAAAGAGAGUUAUUAC